rnacentral:rRNA from 1 species
CCUACGGGUGGCAGCAGUGAGGAAUAUUGGUCAAUGGACGAGAGUCUGAACCAGCCAAGUAGCAUGAAGGAUGACUGCCCUAUGGGUUGUAAACUUCUUUUAUAUGGGAAUAAAAUGUUCCACGUGUGGGUUUUUGUAUGUACCAUAUGAAUAAGGAUCGGCUAACUCCGUGCCAGCAGCCGCGGUAAUACGGAGGAUCCGAGAGUUAUCCGGAUUUAUUGGGUUUAAAGGGAGCGUAGGUGGAUUGUUAAGUCAGUUGUGAAAGUUUGCGGCUCAACCGUAAAAUUGCAGUUGAAACUGGCAGUCUUGAGUACAGUAGAGGUGGGCGGAAUUCGUGGUGUAGCGGUGAAAUGCUUAGAUAUCACGAAGAACUCCGAUUGCGAAGGCAGCUCACUGGACUGCAACUGACACUGAGGCUCGAAAGUGUGGGUAUCAAACAGGAUUAGAUACCCCAGUAGUC